CUGGUGCCUAUACUGCAUGUCGAAUGCGCACUUGUGCUUAGUGGCAAAUGGGUGAGCAACACGUACUUAAUCUACCCCCAAGUUUGGGAUAACAGUUGGAAACAAUUGCUAAUACCCAAUACAUAUAAGUUUUGCAUAAUUCUUAUAUAAAAGGAGCGUUUGUUUCGCUAGGGGAUGAGAGUGCGCUACAUUAGUUAGUUGGUAGGGUAAGAGCCUACCAAGACUAUGAUGUAUAGCGGGGCUGAGAAGCUGAACCGCCACACUGGGACUGAGAUACGGCCCAGACUCCUACGGGAGGCAGCAGUAGGGAAUAUUCCACAAUGAGCGAAAGCUUGAUGGAGCAACACAGCGUGCAGGAAGACGACCUUAGGGCUGUAAACUGCUGUUAUGAGGGAAGAAAAAUAAAAUUAGGAAAUGAAUUUUACAUGACGGUACCUCAUCAGAAAGCACCGGCAAACUAUGUGCCAGCAGCCGCGGUAAUACAUAGGGUGCAAGCGUUAUCCGGAAUUAUUGGGCGUAAAGUGUCUGUAGGUGGUAUGUUAAGUCUAGUGUUAAAGACUAGGGCCCAACCCUAGCACGCUCUAGAUACUGACAUGCUAGAGUCAUAGAGAGGUUAGCGGAACUCCUAGUGAAGCGGUGAAAUGUGUAGAUAUUAGGAAGAACACCAAUAGCGGAGGCAGCUAACUGGAUAUGUACUGACACUCAGAGACCAAAGCGUGU
rnacentral:rRNA from 1 species